GCAAAUUACUAUGCUUGAUAUUUUGAAUAUUUUAUUAUUUUACUAUGCUUGAUAUUUUUAAUAUUUUAUUAUUUUACUAUGCAGCAUAGUAACCCAAUGUUUUCCUAUAAAUAGAGCCUUUCAGAAUUCAUUUUGAAUUACGAAAAAUCUUUCUUUCUCUCACUCUGCCUAAAAUCUUCUUAACACUCUUUUAAAGUUUUAAAUCUCUAAAAUCUAGGCGAAGUUCUGUUUGUAACGCUAGCCUACGAAGACCUUUUUGGGAAGCUAACAAUUUCGGUUGUUUUAUCAAGACGCAAGGUAAGAGGCCCCAAAUAUAAAUCGUUGAUGAGUAUACGUGGAGCCAACAUGACUGUACAUAUGGGGCUGACCUGAAGGGAGUGGAGUUCUGCUAUGCUAUUUUAUAAAUAAACAAGAAACUUGGUUUUAUUAUAUUUCAUUAAAAGUAUUUUGUGAACUUUAUCAUUUACUUAAAGCUUUAAAAGUAUUUUAUGAACUUUGUAAUUUACAUAAAGCUUUUCAAUUUAUCAGUUGGAUACAUUUUCAUUUCUACGUUAAGGUGUAGUAACGUCACGAAAAUGAUUUAUAAAAGUAUUAAGAUUUGUAUGUAAGAUAAAGUUUUUAUUUAGUUGUGAGUAUUGUGUGGUUUGAGGUUAUAAACAUUAUUUAUGUAUUGUUUAAUAAAGUUUUUGUAAAUUCAGAAUUUCAGUAUUGUCGUAUUU